rnacentral:rRNA from 1 species
UACAGAGGUCUCGAGCGUUGUUCGGAUUCAUUGGGCGUAAAGAGCGUGUAGGCGGCCCCGGUAAGUCCGCUGUAAAAAGUCAAAGGCUCAACCUUUGAAUGUCAGUGGAUACUGCCGGGCUAGAGUCCGGAAGAGGCGAGUGGAACUCCUGGUGUAGCGGUGGAAUGCGCAGAUAUCAGGAAGAACACCAACGGCGAAGGCAGCUCGCUGGGACGGUACUGACGCUGAGACGCGAAAGCGUGGGGAGCGAACAGG